rnacentral:rRNA from 1 species
CCUACGGGUGGCAGCAGUGGGGAAUAUUGCGCAAUGAGCGGAAGAGUGACGCAGCGACGCCGCGUGAAGGCCGAAGGCCUUCGGGUCGUAAAGUUCUUUCGACAGGGAAGAAAAUGCCUAUAAGUAACUGUGUAUGUAUUGACGGUACCUGUAGAAGCAGCCCAGGCUAACUCCGUGCCAGCAGCCGCGGUAAUACGGGGGAUGCGAGCGUUAUCCGGCUUUAUUGGGUUGAAAGGGUGCGCAGGCGGAGGUGCAAGUCAGCGGUCAAAUUGCGGGGCUCAACCCCGUACUGCCGUUGAAACUGCAGCCCUUGAGUGCGCGAGACGUAUGCGGAAUGCGUGGUGUAGCGGUGAAAUGCAUAGAUAUCACGCAGAACUCCGAUUGCGAAGGCAGCAUACCGGCGCGCAACUGACGCUCAUGCACGAAAGCGUGGGUAUCGAACAGGAUUAGAUACCCUUGUAGUC